rnacentral:lncRNA from 10 species
GGAAGUCAUAUUGGAAUGGAUUCAAGUGAGAAAUGGGAAGUCUGUGACUGUGUGUCUUUUAAAGAAACGUGACUGGAGGGGAAUAUAGAGAUGGACUGGAAUUGGAGGGAAAUCUGAGAUCCAGGAAGAUUUUUGUUUUUCAGAUGAGAAGGACUUAGAACACGAUUAUAUGCUAAUGUGGAGGAGCUAGUGAAAGGGAAAGCGUUAAGGAUAUGGGGGUGUGUCUAGGGAUUAGUUGUAAGAUUACUGAGAGAAUCAGAG